rfam:Mesocricetus auratus contig132655, whole genome shotgun sequence.
UGGCGCCCAACGUGGUGACCCAGGUACAAGGGCUUCAGUGAAGAAUGUCGCUUAGGAGAGCCGGCCAUAUCAAAAAGAAAAGAAACAGAGGUAGUUGGAAGACGAGAGCCUGCCGCAGCAACAAAGACCUCGGUAAGUGAGUGACGAUAUGGGACAAGACAUGAGUCAACAUGAAUUGUUUGUUGAAGGCCUCAAGAAGGCACUUAAGGCCCAAGUGAUUAGGCUUAAAACACAGGAUUUGUGAAAGUCUUUUGUCUUUAUUAAGGAAGUUUGUCCCU